UUAAGCGACUAAGCGUACACGGUGGAUGCCCUGGCAGUCAGAGGCGAUGAAGGACGUGCUAAUCUGCGAUAAGCGUCGGUAAGGUGAUAUGAACCGUUAUAACCGGCGAUUUCCGAAUGGGGAAACCCAGUGUGUUUCGACACACUAUCAUUAACUGAAUCCAUAGGUUAAUGAGGCGAACCGGGGGAACUGAAACAUCUAAGUACCCCGAGGAAAAGAAAUCAACCGAGAUUCCCCCAGUAGCGGCGAGCGAACGGGGAGCAGCCCAGAGCCUGAAUCAGUAUGUGUGUUAGUGGAAGCGUCUGGAAAGGCGCGCGAUACAGGGUGACAGCCCCGUACACAAAAAUGCACAUAUUGUGAGCUCGAUGAGUAGGGCGGGACACGUGGUAUCCUGUCUGAAUAUGGGGGGACCAUCCUCCAAGGCUAAAUACUCCUGACUGACCGAUAGUGAACCAGUACCGUGAGGGAAAGGCGAAAAGAACCCCGGCGAGGGGAGUGAAAAAGAACCUGAAACCGUGUACGUACAAGCAGUGGGAGCACGCUUAGGCGUGUGACUGCGUACCUUUUGUAUAAUGGGUCAGCGACUUAUAUUCUGUAGCAAGGUUAACCGAAUAGGGGAGCCGAAGGGAAACCGAGUCUUAACUGGGCGUUAAGUUGCAGGGUAUAGACCCGAAACCCGGUGAUCUAGCCAUGGGCAGGUUGAAGGUUGGGUAACACUAACUGGAGGACCGAACCGACUAAUGUUGAAAAAUUAGCGGAUGACUUGUGGCUGGGGGUGAAAGGCCAAUCAAACCGGGAGAUAGCUGGUUCUCCCCGAAAGCUAUUUAGGUAGCGCCUCGUGAAUUCAUCUCCGGGGGUAGAGCACUGUUUCGGCAAGGGGGUCAUCCCGACUUACCAACCCGAUGCAAACUGCGAAUACCGGAGAAUGUUAUCACGGGAGACACACGGCGGGUGCUAACGUCCGUCGUGAAGAGGGAAACAACCCAGACCGCCAGCUAAGGUCCCAAAGUCAUGGUUAAGUGGGAAACGAUGUGGGAAGGCCCAGACAGCCAGGAUGUUGGCUUAGAAGCAGCCAUCAUUUAAAGAAAGCGUAAUAGCUCACUGGUCGAGUCGGCCUGCGCGGAAGAUGUAACGGGGCUAAACCAUGCACCGAAGCUGCGGCAGCGACACUAUGUGUUGUUGGGUAGGGGAGCGUUCUGUAAGCCUGUGAAGGUGUGCUGUGAGGCAUGCUGGAGGUAUCAGAAGUGCGAAUGCUGACAUAAGUAACGAUAAAGCGGGUGAAAAGCCCGCUCGCCGGAAGACCAAGGGUUCCUGUCCAACGUUAAUCGGGGCAGGGUGAGUCGACCCCUAAGGCGAGGCCGAAAGGCGUAGUCGAUGGGAAACAGGUUAAUAUUCCUGUACUUGGUGUUACUGCGAAGGGGGGACGGAGAAGGCUAUGUUGGCCGGGCGACGGUUGUCCCGGUUUAAGCGUGUAGGCUGGUUUUCCAGGCAAAUCCGGAAAAUCAAGGCUGAGGCGUGAUGACGAGGCACUACGGUGCUGAAGCAACAAAUGCCCUGCUUCCAGGAAAAGCCUCUAAGCAUCAGGUAACAUCAAAUCGUACCCCAAACCGACACAGGUGGUCAGGUAGAGAAUACCAAGGCGCUUGAGAGAACUCGGGUGAAGGAACUAGGCAAAAUGGUGCCGUAACUUCGGGAGAAGGCACGCUGAUAUGUAGGUGAAGUCCCUCGCGGAUGGAGCUGAAAUCAGUCGAAGAUACCAGCUGGCUGCAACUGUUUAUUAAAAACACAGCACUGUGCAAACACGAAAGUGGACGUAUACGGUGUGACGCCUGCCCGGUGCCGGAAGGUUAAUUGAUGGGGUUAGCCGCAAGGCGAAGCUCUUGAUCGAAGCCCGGUAAACGGCGGCCGUAACUAUAACGGUCCUAAGGUAGCGAAAUUCCUUGUCGGGUAAGUUCCGACCUGCACGAAUGGCGUAAUGAUGGCCAGGCUGUCUCCACCCGAGACUCAGUGAAAUUGAACUCGCUGUGAAGAUGCAGUGUACCCGCGGCAAGACGGAAAGACCCCGUGAACCUUUACUAUAGCUUGACACUGAACAUUGAGCCUUGAUGUGUAGGAUAGGUGGGAGGCUUUGAAGUGUGGACGCCAGUCUGCAUGGAGCCGACCUUGAAAUACCACCCUUUAAUGUUUGAUGUUCUAACGUUGACCCGUAAUCCGGGUUGCGGACAGUGUCUGGUGGGUAGUUUGACUGGGGCGGUCUCCUCCUAAAGAGUAACGGAGGAGCACGAAGGUUGGCUAAUCCUGGUCGGACAUCAGGAGGUUAGUGCAAUGGCAUAAGCCAGCUUGACUGCGAGCGUGACGGCGCGAGCAGGUGCGAAAGCAGGUCAUAGUGAUCCGGUGGUUCUGAAUGGAAGGGCCAUCGCUCAACGGAUAAAAGGUACUCCGGGGAUAACAGGCUGAUACCGCCCAAGAGUUCAUAUCGACGGCGGUGUUUGGCACCUCGAUGUCGGCUCAUCACAUCCUGGGGCUGAAGUAGGUCCCAAGGGUAUGGCUGUUCGCCAUUUAAAGUGGUACGCGAGCUGGGUUUAGAACGUCGUGAGACAGUUCGGUCCCUAUCUGCCGUGGGCGCUGGAGAACUGAGGGGGGCUGCUCCUAGUACGAGAGGACCGGAGUGGACGCAUCACUGGUGUUCGGGUUGUCAUGCCAAUGGCACUGCCCGGUAGCUAAAUGCGGAAGAGAUAAGUGCUGAAAGCAUCUAAGCACGAAACUUGCCCCGAGAUGAGUUCUCCCUGACUCCUUGAGAGUCCUGAAGGAACGUUGAAGACGACGACGUUGAUAGGCCGGGUGUGUAAGCGCAGCGAUGCGUUGAGCUAACCGGUACUAAUGAACCGUGAGGCUUAACCU
rnacentral:rRNA from 1 species